rnacentral:lncRNA from 1 species
UGGCUAAUGUUAGUCUAGUCCCCAUGCAAGAAGGAAGUCUGCUUUGGGAAAGGCUGUCUUUGUUUAAACUAUAAACUACAAACUAAGUUUCUCCCAAAGUUAGUUCAGCCUACGGUCAGGAAUGAACAAGGACAGCUUGGAGGUUAGAAGAAAGAUGGAGUCAGUUAAAUUGGAUCUGUUUCACUGUUUGAGUCAUAAUUUUGCAAAGGCGGUUUCAAUACUAGUGUCACAAAAUGGGAAGAAAAAGGACUGGGAUUAUGCCUCCAUUUAAAAAAUUAUUCGUGAGAUAUUUGAUUCGGUAGAGACAAAGGCAAUGUGCCAUGGAGGAAUGCAGCCACACGGAAUGAUGCAACCACAAGCCGAGGAACACCAGUAGCCACUAGAAGCCUGAAGAGGCAAGGAACGGAUUCUCCCUGGAGCCUACCAAGGGAUUAUGGCCCUGCUGACACCUUGCUUUUGGCCAAGUGAUACUAUUAUACUUUCAAACUGCAGACUUCCAGAACUGUGAGAUAAUAAAUUUCUGUUGUUUUAGACCAUCAAGUUUGCAGUAACUUGUUAUAGCAGCUACAAGAAGCGAAUAGAAGACCCUUCCAGCUUUAAAAUUGUAUGGGUGGCAAAACAAACUGAAGAUGUAAAAAUCAAUAGGCAUUUAGAAUAACUUGCUUUUUACUAACUAAAAUUCUAAAGUACAACUGAGCAUUAAAAGUUCUGGGCUUCUUGACAUCUGUGACUCUGAUUGGUUGAGAGAUUUGCUCUGAUUUUUUUACUUAAUGGGAAUGCUUGUUACUUGAAAAAGAAAAGCAGUCAUUUGCUACUAGUCUGUAACUCAGCUAAUCUCUUCUUCUGAUCCUCUUCUUUUGACUACUAAUUUUUAGAAGUACUCAGAGAUCAACCAUGAGUAUUAUUCUUUUCUAUUUUUACCCACUCAGUCUAGGUGAUCAUAGCUAUUCCCGUGGCUUUAAAUGCCUUCUGAAUUCUGAUAGCUCCCUGACUUACAUACCUGAACUUCAGAUUAAUAAAUCCAAUUGCGAGAUUCAUAGUUUCUCUUCAAUAACUAAUGGCAUCUGAAAUUUAAAUUGUGCAUUAAAAAGACUCACUUUUCAACUUGCACACUUCUAUCUGUGCUUUCUCCAGCAUUUCCUGUUUUAAUAAGUGGAGCCUCCAUCUACCAAGUUGCUCCAAGCAAAAUCUGAGAGUAAUCCUCAAUACUUCCUUUUCCACCACCGACCAUGUUGGAUUCAUCAUCUAAUUUUGCAUAUUAUGUCUCAAACAUUUUCUAUUUAAUCACAUCUCUCCAUCUCUAGCGCUAUCAUUGUCUCUAGCCCGGACUCCUCCUAGGUGGUCCCCUACUUCUAAUCUUGCCUGUUUCCAAUUCAUUCUCAACAUGGAAGCCAGUUUGAUAUUUAGAUAAGUUUACUUGCCUGCUUAAACACUCUAAUUUUUAAAUAAAUAAAAUCCAUGCGUGACUUAGUCCCUUCCUCUUUCUCCAAACUCAUCUCAAACUCUCCAUCUUACCUCAUACCUAUUAUAAACACUCAGGCCUUUCCUCCGUUCCUCUAAAACUUCAUUUGUUUCCUGCCUCCAGGUCUUUAGACUGAUAUUUCCUUCUGCAUGGAACACUCUCCCAAACCCAGCCCCAGCUAUGCAUGACUUUUCAUUACUUUUUCAACUUAAAUUUCACCUCCUUAGGUAAAAUCUAAAAUUUUCCUGAUUCAUUCAAUGCAAAAAAAAAAAAAUCCUCCCCAGCUAGUGUCUAUCAGGGCACCCUUUCUGUUCCUCUCACAGCACACAUUAGGACUUGUUGCUUCAUUUUAUUUAUGUAUUUAUUACUUGACUGUAUCCAUUACUAGGCCAUAAGUCCUAUGGGAGGAUGGGAUCUCAUUAGUCCUUUUUAAUGUUUUGUUUUUAUUAUAUUUUGCAUUUUGUUAAAGUUUUACAUGCAUAGAAACUUUUGAAAGACAAAUAAAUGGUUCUGAAG